rnacentral:rRNA from 1 species
CAGUCGCCGCGGGAAUACGUAGGUGGCGAGCGUUGUCCGGAAUUAUUGGGCGUAAAGGGAGCGCAGGCGGUUAGAUAAGUCUGAAGUUAAAGGCUGUGGCUUAACCAUAGUACGCUUUGGAAACUGUUUAACUUGAGUGCAAGAGGGGAGAGUGGAAUUCCAUGUGUAGCGGUGAAAUGCGUAGAUAUAUGGAGGAACACCGGUGGCGAAAGCGGCUCUCUGGCUUGUAACUGACGCUGAGGCUCGAAAGCGUGGGGCGCAAACAGGAUUAGAUACCCCUGUAGUCCCUGUCUCUUAUACC